CUUCCGUGGUGAACCUGCGGAAAGGUCGUACUGCGGGCUCGCGGACACCUCCCACCCUUGUCUCUAUACACCUGUUGCUUUGGCGGGCCCACCGGGGCCACCUGGU
rnacentral:rRNA from 1 species